UUAUAUAACAUUGUUGGUUAAUAGCUUUUAGGGCUUUCUGUGUUCUUCAGAUACCUCUCUCUUUCUCCCGUCUGCAGCCUCUUUCAGUAAUUUUCUGUAUUUUAUUUAAUGCGUCUCUCCACAGCUCAUAAGCACUCAGAGUUCUUCUAGAGGGCAUAUUGGAAAGGGUUGCGAUCGUUUUCUCCAUCAGACUGAUGGACUGUCCUCCAGACCUUGGGCGACUGAAAAAGAAAAGGAUUUGUAGAACUGGUCCCCGUGGGUUUGCAGCCUACCAGGAAUCACUGGGAGCAAGGCAGGAAAUACCCUUUCUGGACAGGGCACCACUCCAAUGCAAGCCUUUCAUCAAGUGCUUGGUUUGCAAAAUAUGAUGUGUGUUGUAGAACUUCCAAUAUGGAUGGA
rnacentral:lncRNA from 1 species